rnacentral:lncRNA from 1 species
ACAAAACAGGCAUCAAUGAGGACUGCCACACAUUACAUUUUUCAAAAAAAACAAAACAAACUUCAGCAUCCAUACGUCACCAGCAAAACAUCACCCACUAUAGCUUCACAGUCUUCACAGCACACCUCAUACAGUCUUCAGUCUUUAACAAACAAGAGGGGUAACCAUCAAUCAGAGGAAGAAGUAUCACCUUCACCUUCA